CAGAGAGACGAGCUGCAGCUGAUCUGAUCUACAAAAUACCUUUCAUCCGUAAUCUUGGUCUUUUUGUGCAUCUGUGUUGUUUUUUCCUGAAACUCUGAAGGAACCGUGUUCUUCAGGAUGAGAUCGGUUUGUCUUUUCUUGCUGUUUCUUCUCAUAAUUCGCUCUGAAGCGUGGAACUCAGAUGAUUAUGAGACAACAUCAGCCAUAAAACAGCAGAUCCCCCAGAAACACGUGUCUCUGGAAGAGCUGGCAUCAAGCCCCGCCCCAGUCAAGACAAGCCCCUCCUCCAUGUCAACAAGUCCCCUCCCAGUCAAGACAAGCCCCUCCCCUGUGUCCACAAGCCCCGCCCCCACAACACCUGCAGCACCUGUGACAGAUGAGUUUCUGGGUCCGUCCAAGUGUCUGGACAAAAAACGGACUCGGGUGUCAUGUGACCUGGUUUUCUGCCCUCCGUGGGAACGCUGCAUCGAAGGAACGUGUUCCUGCAAACCGCCCUACCUGUGUCCCAUCGACAACACGAAGCCGGUUUGUGGGCGGGACCACAGGAACUACAGAUCCUACUGCCAGGUGAUGGCGGUCUCGUGCCGGACCAAGAAACCCACCAUGUCCCACUUUGGGGAAAAUUGUGACGCAAAUAAAGAGAAGUUCUCGAGUUCCAUUGACCAGGACAACGGUUUGGUGUCCAUGUUCCUGCCCAACAGUGAUGGAGAAAGCGAUGAAGUUCUGGUUUGUGAGAAGCUGUGGGACACGGCAGCGGCUAACGUGGCCUGCAGGGAACAAGGAAAAUCACUGGGAGCAGCUUCUGCUAAUUCUGUACCGUUCGACUCCCUGACUAACAAACCGGACAGAUGUGUUAGCGUUCGCUGCCAAGGCUACGAGACGUCGCUGUCCGAGUGCGUGAUCUACGACAGAGUGAUGAGCACAUAUGGAAGGGUGGCUGCUGUUUCCUGUUACGAGGCUCCGAAGAAACCUACAGAAUGUGGACCCGACUUCACAUGUGCAAACUCAAAGUGUGUUUCUCUGAACCGGACGUGUGACGGAGUCGACGAUUGUGGCGACCGAAGUGACGAAAUGUGCUGCAAAAGUUGCAGAAACGGAGCUUUUCGCUGUAAAACUGGAGUUUGUUUACAUGGAGAAGCCAUUAACGACGGCCACAUCGACUGUCUGGAUGGAGAAGACGAAGCAGAGAAACACAAGAAGAAAAUACAAACAUCUUUCAGGUCGUCUGCAGAUCCAGAGAAGAUCCUCCAGCAAGUCGGACAUUUAGAGUUCGUCUCUCCCAGACACGAGACCAAAUCCAGCAGAGAUCACCUGGAGUCCUUGCUGUCCUGUGGAGUUCCCAACGCCACCACGGUGGACGACGAGACGGAACAUAGGCGACGCCCCCGAGUCAGGAGGGUUGUGGGCGGCGUCCCAGCCAAGCCGACUCAGAUCCAGUGGCAAGUGGCUCUGGUGGAGAACAAGAGGAUCGACUGUGGAGGAGCUUACAUCGGAGGCUGCUGGGUGGUCACUGCUGCUCACUGUGUCAGACCAAACCCUUCGGCCUUCAGUGUGAAGUUCUCUAUCUGGAAAAAGUUCCAUAUUCAGACCACAAGCGACAUCGUUCCUGUCGAGGACAUCCGCAUCCAUCCCAACUACAACCCGGCCAGCUAUGAGAACGACAUUGCCCUGAUUCAGCUCAAGAAGCUUCCGUUCAGGGAGGAGUGUUUUGAGUACAACCCGGCCGUCAGCGCCGUCUGCAUCCCCUGGACGCCUCACCUGUUCCAACCCAACCACACCUGCAGCAUCUCUGGCUGGGGACGGACCGCAGGUGGCAGGUCGGCUCAGGUGUUACUGUGGGCGAACGUGUCCCUGAUUGCAGACUGUCAGAGGUUCUACAAAGAUCGAUUCAAGCCUGGCAUGAUGUGUGCAGGUGAGUGCAGGACAGGUGUGGCUGUAGACAGCUGUACAGUGUCUUGCAAAAGUGUUCACCCCCUUGACUUUUUUUUAAAUUAGUGAAAUGAGGUCCACCUGUGUGUCACAUGAUCUGUCAGUAGAUACACACCUUUUCUGAAAGGCCUGAGAGCAAAAGACAAAGGUAACCAAACACCACGAUGAAGACCAAGGAAGUCUCCAAACAAGUCAGGGACAAAGCUGUUGAGAAGUAUGAGUCAGGGUUGGGUUAAAAAAAUCAUCUAAAUCUUUGAUGAUUCCCAGGAGCACAUCAAAUCCAUCAUGAUCAAAUGGAAAGAUCAUGGCACCACAACAGAGCUUCCAAGAGAGGACCGCACACCAAAACUGAAAGACCAAGAAGGACCAAAGGUAACCCUGGACGAGAAACUGGAGUAUCUGUCUACAGGAUACAAUAGGAGCUGGGCUUUGUGGAAGAGUGGCCAGAAGAUAGACAUUACUUUCAGCUAAAAAUAAGAAGGCACGUUUUGAGUUUUAUGACGAGUGGGAGACUCCUAAAAUGUAUGGAGGAAGGUGCUCUGGUCAAAUGAGACUAAAAUUUAACUUUUCGGCCAUCAAAGAAAUUGCUAUGUCUGGAACACACCUAACACAUCUAAUCACUCCAAGAACUCCAUCUCCACGGUGAUGCAUGGGGGUGGCAGCAUCAUGAAGUGAAGCAUGGUGGUGGCAGCAUCAUGAUGUGAAGCAUGGUGGUGGCAGCAUCAUGAAGUGAAGCAUGGUGGUGGCAGCAUCAUGAAGUGAAGCAUGGUGGUGGCAGCAUCAUGAAGUGAAGCACGGUGGUGGCAGCAUCAUGAAGUGAAGCACGGUGGUGGCAGCAUCAUGAAGUGAAGCACGGUGGUGGCAGCAUCAUGAAGUGAAGCAUGAAGGUGGCAGCAUCAUGAAGUGAAGCACGGUGGUGGCAGCAUCAUGAAGUGAAGCAUGAAGGUGGCAGCAUCAUGAUGUGAAGCACGGUGGUGGCAGCAUCAUGAUGUGAAGCAUGGUGGUGGCAGCAUCAUGAAGUGAAGCACGGUGGUGGCAGCAUCAUGAAGUGAAGCACGGUGGUGGCAGCAUCAUGAAGUGAAGCAUGGUGGUGGCAGCAUCAUGAAGUGAAGCAUGAAGGUGGCAGCAUCAUGAAGUGAAGGAUGGUGGUGGCAGCAUCAUGAAGUGAAGGAUGGUGGUGGCAGCAUCCUGAUGACUCGGGAUGUCGGCCUCAACGGGGGAAGGAGAAUUAAACAAACAAUGGGAUUUUAUACCACUGGAAACCAAUAGCAACCUUAUGAUGCUGCCAUGGUGGUGGCAGCAUCAUGAAGUAGGGAUGUUUUAUGGCAGCAGAGACUGAGAAACUUGUCCGAGUGAAAGGGAAAAAUGACCGGUGCUAAAUAUUUCUUGAGCUAGACCUGUACCAGUCUGUAAGUGAUUUGAAACUAGGACAGAGGUUGCAAGGCACUGUACGUCUGUGUACAGGUGUAUUUAAGGUGUGUAUAUGUGUACAAGUGUGUUUAAGGUGUGUAUGUGUGUAUAGGUGUGCAUAAGGUCCAUGUCUGUACAGGUGUGUUUAAGGUGUGUGUCUGUACAGGUGUGUUUAAGGUGUGUGUCUGUG